AACCCUGAUGCAGCUAUACCGUGUGUGUGAAGAAGGCCUUAGGGUUGUAAAGCACUUUCAAUGGGGAAGAAUUUAAUAUUGCUAAUAUCGAUAUUAAUUGACGUUACCUAUAUAAGAAGCACCGGCUAACUCCGUGCCAGCAGCCGCGGUAAUACGGAGGGUGCAAGCGUUAAUCGGAAUUACUGGGCGUAAAGAGUACGUAGGUGGUUUGUUAAGCCAGAUGUGAAAUCCCUGAGCUUAACUUAGGAACUGCAUUUGAAACUAAUAAACUAGAGUUUCGUAGAGGGGGGUAGAAUUCCAGGUGUAGCGGUGAAAUGCGUAGAGAUCUGGAGGAAUACCAGUGGCGAAGGCGACCCCCUGGACGGAAACUGACACUCAGGUACGAAAGCAUGGGGAGCAAACAGGAUUAGAUACCCUGGUAGUCCAUGCCGUAAACGAUGUCGAUUUGAA
rnacentral:rRNA from 1 species